CGGGGUGCACCAGGCGCGAAAACUUUGCAAUACACGAAAGUGUGACAGGGCUAUCCCGAGUGCCAUCCGCUGAGGAAGGCUUUUACCCAGUCUAGAACGCUGGGGGAAUAAGGAGAGGGCAAGUCUGGUGUCAGCCGCCGCGGUAAUACCAGCUCUCCGAGUGGUGUGGAUGUUUAUUGGGCCUAAAGCAUCCGUAGCUGGCUAAGUUAGUCCCUUGUUAAAUCCACCGAAUUAAUCGUUGGAUUGCGGGGGAUACUGCUUGGCUAGGGGACGAGAGAGGCAGACGGUAUUUCCGGGGUAGGGGUGAAAUCCUAUAAUCCCGGGAAGACCACCAGUGGCGAAGGCUGCCUGCUAGAACGCGCCCGACGGUGAGGGAUGAAAGCUGGGGGAGCGAACCGGAUUAGAUACCCGGGUAGUCCCAGCUGUAAACGAUGCAGGCUAGGUGUUUGGACGGCCACGUGCCGUUCUAGUGCCGCAGGGAAGCUGUUAAGCCUGCCGCCUGGGGAGUACGAUCGCAAGAUGGAAACUUAAAGGAAUUGGCGGGGGAGCAC
rnacentral:rRNA from 1 species